AAAUUGAAGAGUUUGAUCAUGGCUCAGAUUGAACGCUGGCGGCAGGCCUAACACAUGCAAGUCGAGCGGCAGCGACAACAUUGAAUCUUCGGAGGAUUUGUUGGGCGGCGAGCGGCGGACGGGUGAGUAAUGCCUAGGAAAUUGCCCUGAUGUGGGGAUAACCAUUGGAAACGAUGGCUAAUACCGCAUGAUGCCUACGGGCCAAAGAGGGGACGCUUCGGGCCUCUCGCGUCAGGAUAUGCCUAGGUGGGAUUAGCUAGUUGGUGAGGUAAGGGCUCACCAAGGCGACGAUCCCUAGCUGGUCUGAGAGGAUGAUCAGCCACACUGGAACUGAGACACGGUCCAGACUCCUACGGGAGGCAGCAGUGGGGAAUAUUGCACAAUGGGCGCAAGCCUGAUGCAGCCAUGCCGCGUGUGAAGAAGCGCUGGGUUGUAAAGCACUUUCAGUAGGGAGGAAGGUUCAUGCGUUAAUAGCGUAUGGAUUUGACGUUACCUACAGAAGAAGCACCGGCUAACUCCGUGCCAGCAGCCGCGGUAAUACGGAGGGUGCGAGCGUUAAUCGGAAUUACUGGGCGUAAAGCGCAUGCAGGUGGUUUGUUAAGUCAGAUGUGAAAGCCCGGGGCUCAACCUCGGAAUUGCAUUUGAAACUGGCAGACUAGAGUACUGUAGAGGGUAGAAUUUCAGGUGUAGCGGUGAAAUGCGUAGAGAUCUGAAGGAAUACCGGUGGCGAAGGCGGCCCCCUGGACAGAUACUGACACUCAGAUGCGAAAGCGUGGGGAGCAAACAGGAUUAGAUACCCUGGUAGUCCACGCCGUAAACGAUGUCUACUUGGAGGUUGUGGCCUUGAGCCGUGGCUUUCGGAGCUAACGCGUUAAGUAGACCGCCUGGGGAGUACGGUCGCAAGAUUAAAACUCAAAUGAAUUGACGGGGGCCCGCACAAGCGGUGGAGCAUGUGGUUUAAUUCGAUGCAACGCGAAGAACCUUACCUACUCUUGACAUCCAGAGAAGCCAGUAGAGAUACAGGUGUGCGCUUCGGGAACUCUGAGACAGGUGCUGCAUGGCUGUCGUCAGCUCGUGUUGUGAAAUGUUGGGUUAAGUCCCGCAACGAGCGCAACCCUUAUCCUUGUUUGCCAGCGAGUAAUGUCGGGAACUCCAGGGAGACUGCCGGUGAUAAACCGGAGGAAGUGGGGACGACGUCAAGUCAUCAUGGCCCUUACGAGUAGGGCUACACGUGCUACAAUGGCGCAUACAGAGGGCAGCCAACUUGCGAAAGUGAGCGAAUCCCAAAAAGUGCGUCGUAGUCCGGAUUGGAGUCUGCAACUCGACUCCAUGAAGUCGGAAUCGCUAGUAAUCGUGGAUCAGAAUGCCACGGUGAAUACGUUCCGGGCCUUGUACACACCGCCCGUCACACCAUGGGAGUGGGCUGCAAAAGAAGUAGGUAGUUUAACCUUUCGGGGAGGACGCUUACCACUUUGUGGUUCAUGACUGGGGUGAAGUCGUAACAAGGUAGCGCUAGGGGAACCUGGCGCUGGAUCACCUCCUUAUACGAUGAU
rnacentral:rRNA from 1 species